rnacentral:lncRNA from 1 species
UAAAUUUCAAUCAGUUGUUGAAGUUUCUUCUUCAUUCUUCCUACUUGAUCUGGUACUUCUGUAUCAUUUUCUUCCCCAAUUCAACUAAUCUCUCCAUUUGUGCCUUCUUCAUACCAUCCCUCCCCCUUCGAAAGACUUUGUUCCCUAUGUUGAAAAUCCAGCUAUUUGUAAAUCUGACAGUAUUCCUGUUGGAACUUCUUUUUUCCCAAUUUCUUUUCUUUAGUAAAGAUACAUGAAAGACAGAAUUGAAUUUGGCUGCAGAAGGUAAUUCAAGUUUGUAAGCCACAUUUGAAAAUCUCUGAAUCAAUCUGUAAGGUCCAUAGUACUCCGCAGAAAUCUUUUUGUUGGUUCUCUUUGCUACAAUUUACUGUGCGUAAGGGUAUAAUUUCAGGUACACCCAAUCUCUUAUUCGAAAUUCCCUUUUACUCUUGUUUUUAGCUACAUAAAACUUCAUCCUAGCACUGGCAUGAGCUAGAUUCUCCUUUAGGACUCUGUCCAUCUUAUGUCUUUCCUGCAACAUCACGUUUGCUGGAAUAUUGGAGAUCUGUUGGUAAGGCCCUAGGGUCAACUGAGGAGGUUUGGUAAUAUAUAGAGCUUCAAAAUGUGUCAUUUUAAUGGUAAUAUGCAGGAUGGUGUUAUACCACCAUUCAACUAAGCUAAGCCAUUUAAUUCAUUGUCUAGGCUGCUUGUACACACGCAACACAGAUACAUUUCGAGACACUGAUUCAACGUUUUGGUUUAUCCAUUAGUUUGUGGGUGGUAUGCUGAACUUAGUUGUAAUCUGACUCCUACGUAUUUAAACAACUCUUUCUAGAACUCACUCGUGAACACUUUUUCCCUGUCGGUGAUAAUACUUUGAGACAAACCAUGUAAUCUAUGGAUGUUAUCCAACAAUAAUUUGGCAACAACUUGGGCUAGGAAUGGAUCGGAUGAUGGUAGAAAAUGUGCAUUCUUGGUGAAUAUGUCCACAAUCAAAAACAUUAGAUUCUUACUCCUUGAGGUAGGCAAACAUUCGGCAAAGUCUAUGGAAAUGUGACUCAAAGCACUAGAGUUUGUAAAGGUUGUAAUAAUUCUGGGUAGGCUACAUUUUUACCUUUGCAUCUUUGGCAAGUUUCACAUUCCAAUUCCUUCUUUUUGAUGUCCUUUCUCAUCAUUGAACAAAAAAAUAUUGCUUUGCCCUAUGAAUACUAAACUGUAUCCUAGAAUGACUCACUUUCUGUGAGGAAUGUAUGGCAGCUAUCAAUUUUUUCAUGCUGUCACCACCUGAGUUAAUGUAAACUCUAGAUUUAUACUUAAGUAAUCCAUUCAAGUAGUGAUAGUCAGGUUUUGAGUUGCUAUUAUGCAGUAAUUUUAGUCUUAGCUUCCCUAUCUCCUUAGUAGCUGUUCAUCACGUCCUCUAUCCAUACUGGUGUGACUUCAGUGAUUGCCAAGCAUUUAGAAUUCUUUUCCUCUCUCUAGAUAGAGCAUUUACCAUCUGAUUUGCCACUCCUUGUUUGCAUUGUAUUUCUUAGCCAAGCCAUAGCAACUAGGAUAACUGUUUAUGUUGUAGUGGGAUAGUAAUUCUUUGCUCCAGUAGAUACUUUAGUGAUUGGUUGUGUGUUAUAAUUAUGAAGUGAUGGCCUUCAAGGUACUGUUUCCACUUGCUGCUGUAGCCAAUGCCAAUAGCUCAUUUUCAUAGAUAGAUAUACUUAACUUCUUACUGUUUAUGCCUUUAAUUAAGCAUGCUAAUGGCAUCCUAUUUUGCAUUAGGACAACUUUAAUCCUUC